rnacentral:piRNA from 1 species
UGCAUUUCAAACAGAGGGCUCACUGGGCAC